rnacentral:lncRNA from 1 species
UUUGACUUCUAUCAUAAAUUUGCUGCAGGACUCUGGAUAAAUACAAUGUUCAGUGUACUCUAGGUGACGGAGUGAUUAUAAACACAUCCACAUCACAUUACUGUUUCCAACAUCCGUAACAGUAAGAAAGAUUCAUAAGCCCACGGUAAAAUGGAGGCACAAAUCUUCUCAAUCUAGACAUGCUCAAGGUACAAGGAAAUGUGCUUAAUCAGAGAGCAAGCAUUGUAUAGCUGGAGAUGCUGCUCGAACUGAAAAGAGGGUAACACCUACUGUAGGAGAGGAUAAUCAAUGCUACAUUACUAUGAACAUCUCUGCACUUCUCUAACACUGGCAUAUUAGCAGGGUAGCAGUAUGCCCUAAAAU